rnacentral:tRNA from 1 species
UGUAGCUCAGUUGGCAGAGCAUGGCGCUUGCAAUGCCAGGAAAGUGGGUUCGAUUCCCGGGACCA